UACGUAGGUGGCAAGCGUUGUCCGGAAUUAUUGGGCGUAAAGCGCGCGCAGGCGGUCCUUUAAGUCUGAUGUGAAAGCCCACGGCUCAACCGUGGAGGGUCAUUGGAAACUGGAGGACUUGAGUACAGAAGAGGAAAGCGGAAUUCCACGUGUAGCGGUGAAAUGCGUAGAGAUGUGGAGGAACACCAGUGGCGAAGGCGGCUUUCUGGCCUAUAACUGACGCUGAGGCGCGAAAGCGUGGGGAGCAAACAGG
rnacentral:rRNA from 1 species